rnacentral:tRNA from 1 species
GCCGAUGUUGCUCAGUGGCAGAGCACAUGCCUAGCAUGCAUGAGGCCCUGGGUUUGAGCCCCAGCACUGCA